rnacentral:misc_RNA from 1 species
AAGAUAGAAAAAUAAAAUAAAAUAAAAAACGAUUCAUGCAGAGUCUAACCCAAUCUCUGCACUGUAUUUUUGUCUCCUGAACAUAAAAGUAAACCCUUUUAAAGUCAUCCUAACCAGAACAUCAUCAGAACCAGAAAUAAAUCUUUUCUACCCAAAUAUGGAAAUAUGAAACAGUAUUAAACAUUUACACGCUCUGAAGUUGAGAGAAAAUAAGUCAAUAUAUACUUUCCAUAUUGCAAGAGGAGAGAAAGUAAUAAAAACAUGAAUGAGUUAUGGUGAUUUGAACAGAAAAACACAAGCAAAGCAGUAGGGAAGAUUAAUUUCUGUCUGUCUGUACCAAUCCAAAAAUGUUUCUUGCUCAGAAAAGAAAAAAAAA